rnacentral:misc_RNA from 1 species
GAUUAACAUACACAGGAUCACACUUACUGUAAGCACCACAUUGUCCAUAUGAUCCGCACUGAUAAUCUGGUGCUGACCAGAAUUCUUUCCAUUUGCCUUCUCUUUCGUGCCAGGUUUGGCGCAUAAGCAAUCCUGAAUAAUCCAACACUGUUCGCAGUACAACAGAAGCAUCAACGAGAGAGAAGGAAAUGGAUAUCUCAUCUUGGUUGUUAACAAAACUUAA